ACUAACAUCGUCAAAAUUGUCUCAUUUAAUAUGUUAGUUUAUGAGGCGUGCUUUAUUUUACUUUUCUUAUUUCACAUAAUUUUUUGGCUGAUUUUCUCACCUUCCCCCUCCCAAGUUCAUAAAUUUGAGAAGGUACGUUUUCCAUUUUAUUUCACCUUCUACAUCAUUAACCCACUCCUUUAUUUUCCUGAUUUGUAACUGUAGUGUCUUAAAUUUGUUUUAAUCUCUAAAUCAUUUCAUUAUUAAUUUAUUUUUGUGCCCUUUCAUACCCUAAUUCUUCGAUUAUAUAUAGUUUGAUAGUUACUCCUUCCUUUUCAUAUCAAAAUUUGGAUUUUCUAUGUAACUUUUAAUUGAGGUCUUACAAUGGCUUAUUCUUGCCUUUCAGAGUUUGUUUCUGGUCGAGAUGAUUUAAUAUUCAUUUUUUUCCUGAUUGGAAAUUGUAGUUUGAUAGUUAUUCCUUUUCAUAUUGGAAUUUGCAUUUUCUAUAUAACUUCUAAUUUAGUUCUUAAAAUAGCUCGGAGUUGGUUUCUGGUCAAGAUGAUUUCAUAGUUGCCUUUAUUUUCCUGAUUUGUAAUUAUAGUGUCUUAAAUUUGUAUUACUGUGUUAAUUUAUUUUUGUGCCCUAUUAUACCCUAAUUCUUCGAUUAUGUAUAGUUUGAUAGUUAGUCCUUUUCAUAUCAGAAUUUGCAUUUUCUGCAUAACUUCUAAUUGAGAUCUUAAAAUAUCCUAGAGUUGGUUUCUGGUCGAGAUGUUUUUUUUGAUAAGGGUUAGAAACAACCUUCCGAUUGGAGAAAGAGAUGUUUUUGAACUGCACGGAUAUUAAGGAGUUAUUGGAGUCUGAUUGGAGCUCUAAACUACAGAUUCUUUUGUCAUUUUGGUACUUCUUUUUAAAACCUCCCAUUUGAGAAAGAGAUGUUUUAUAACCGCAUGGACAUUAAGGAGUUUUUGGAGUCUGAAUGGAGCUCUGAACUACUGGUUGUUUUGUUAUUUUGAACCUUUUGUUUGUAUUUUCCAUUUCAAUAGGAUUGUUACACUAUAUAAUUAUAUAUUUUUAAAUGUAGGAAUACAACAUUAAAGUGAAGGGCUGAAUUAUAGAAAUAGAUAAUUAUUUUGACCUGUAUUACCUCUCCUGUAAUGUGUGUUCGAAGAAGAUUGAACUUGUCAAUAGCGUCUAUCGUUCCCCUAAUUUCAAUAAAGAUUGCAAGUUUCCUUUAGUGAAGUAAGGAUUGUAGAAGAACUUUGAAUUUGAUUUUCAUACAUUGCGAAUUAAUCUAACCUAGUCUCUAAAGAUAGGUUCAAGAUACGCAUAAAAACGAUAGAUAUAUAAGGGUACAAUACUUUUACCCUAUUCAAUGUUGUGGCUGAGAAACUCAUAGUUAAGUUGGUUCAUCCUUUUAUGAUUUUUAGUUUAGUUUAACGGUUAUGUGAAAUUCUUUUAAAUUCGUUAUUAAGAAAAUGAUAGUAGUAGACUACGAGUUCGCAUUCUGGAUCCAUCUACUUAACACUUUGUCAAUUCAAGUAUGAGUUUUAUUAUAAUUGCAUUAUUGAAAAUAGUUGUCCUACAGAUACCAUAGCUUCUAUAAGGGAGUAGACAAUCAUUUUGAAGUUCGAAUUGUGUUAGGGUCAUUAGAAAGUUCUUGCACCUGUGUCGCACUAAAAUGCCCUCAUUCCAACCCAUCCUAAUUAAUUGUAUUAAUGCAUGAGUGUUAAUGAAUUUUCUGGUGCCUUUGUCUAAUUGUUGAAUUUCAUGGAACUUUUGGAACAGAAAAUGAUUCCUCUUGUGAGUGGUGAAGCUAGAUAGUAGAUAGUACCUGCUUCGUUUUCCGCUAUCAUACUCAUAUAAGUUUGAUUCAUACCCUUUAGAGUGAAAUUUUCAUGUAGAUGUGUCAAGAGUAAACUUUAUAGCCACUAUAUUAAUUAAUAUUCAUUAUAUAUUUCACAUUUUUACUGCAGGUUUGUUGAACUUCAAUGGCAACUUUCAGUGCAUUCUUUGAGAGAGGUUCAUAUGCGAAUGUUUGUUGCUGAGUGGCUAAAAUCCCUUAUUUUUAGGGUUUAUAGCUACGAUUGAUGGUUUAAUACAAUUUUUUCUAGUAUGAGAAGGGUUGUCUAAUGAUUUGUGCUUGAAUUAUUUUUUUACCAUUUUAAUUCUUGAUUAACAUUAGAAUAAACUUGUUGUCUGUUCUUGAACUCAGAAGAUAAAUAGAGGGAUAGACCAAAGAAUGUGUGAGAGUGUUCAUUCUAGGGUAAAAUUUAGAGUGUUUUGUAUAUAGGAUAGUCUUAUACUUAUAUACAACACUUGGUUGUUAUACAAGAUGAAUGCUAAAUGGGCCGUCAUU
rnacentral:lncRNA from 1 species